UGGGUGAUCUGCCCUGCACUUCGGGAUAAGCCUGGGAAACUGGGUCUAAUACCGGAUAUGAUCAUGCGCCUCCUGGUGUGUGGUGGAAAGCUUUUGCGGUGUGGGAUGGGCCCGCGGCCUAUCAGCUUGUUGGUGGGGUAAUGGCCUACCAAGGCGUCGACGGGUAGCCGGCCUGAGAGGGUGUCCGGCCACACUGGGACUGAGACACGGCCCAGACUCCUACGGGAGCA
rnacentral:rRNA from 1 species